rnacentral:sRNA from 1 species
CGCCUGCGCAGUGCGGUCGCGGGGGCUGUCGUUGUCCCCCGAGCCGCCGACCGGGCCUCGAACGGGAUGGCAGAGGAGGUGAGGAGGGAGAAGCGUCCGGAGUGGGGCGGGCCCGGACUCCGACCCCCGGGGCGCUUCGAGCCCCCCAGCGGGUCACCGAGGCACCGCCGCUCCACCCAGGCCAGUAGCCGCCCCCUCGCGCACCCCGGCCCCGCCUCACACGCGCGCCCGAGCGAGCCCCGGGCUCCCCUCGGGCCCAGCGCGGCGCAGGGGUCAGUGGUUCUCUCGGGUCUCGGGACAGGUGAGCACCCUGAUGAAGGCCACAGUCCUGAUGCGGCAGCCUGGGCGGGUGCAGGAGAUCGUGGGCGCCCUCCGCAAGGGCGGCGGAGAUCGGUUACAGGUGAUUUCUGAUUUUGACAUGACCUUGAGCAGGUUUGCAUAUAAUGGAAAGCGAUGCCCUUCUUCUUACAAUAUUCUGGAUAAUAGCAAGAUCAUCAGUGAGGAGUGUCGGAAAGAGCUCACAGCACUCCUUCACCACUAUUACCCAAUUGAGAUCGACCCACACCGGACCGUCAAGGAGAAGCUACCUCAUAUGGUGGAAUGGUGGACCAAAGCGCACAAUCUCCUAUGUCAGCAGAAGAUUCAGAAGUUUCAGAUAGCCCAGGUGGUUAGAGAGUCCAAUGCAAUGCUCAGGGAGGGAUACAAGACCUUCUUCAACACACUCUACCAUAACAACAUUCCCCUUUUCAUCUUUUCUGCGGGCAUUGGUGAUAUCCUGGAAGAAAUUAUCAGACAGAUGAAAGUGUUCCACCCCAACAUCCACAUCGUGUCUAACUACAUGGAUUUUAAUGAAGAUGGUUUUCUCCAGGGAUUUAAGGGCCAGCUCAUACACACAUACAACAAGAACAGCUCUGUGUGUGAGAACUCUGGUUACUUCCAGCAACUUGAGGGCAAAACCAAUGUCAUCUUGCUGGGAGACUCCAUCGGGGACCUCACCAUGGCCGAUGGGGUUCCUGGUGUGCAGAACAUUCUCAAGAUUGGCUUCCUGAAUGACAAGGUGGAGGAGCGGCGGGAGCGCUACAUGGACUCCUAUGACAUCGUGCUGGAGAAGGACGAGACUCUGGAUGUGGUCAACGGGCUACUGCAGCACAUCCUGUGCCAGGGGGUCCAGCUGGAGAUGCAAGGCCCCUGAAGGCACAGGCUUCACCCGGCCUGCAGGCCGUGGUGAGGAGGGGGCGCCUCCCCAGAGUGCGCUCCCCCGUGAACACAGAGCAGAGGCCAGGGUGGCCAGCAGUGGCUGGGUCCUUCCAUGCUCCCUCUCCGUCCUCCUUUCCCCGAGCACCUUCAUCACCAGAGGCUUGAAGGAACCCCGCCAUGUGGCAGGGCACAAGCACUGUUCCUGGUGAACCUUGGACCACAGCAUGUCAGUGCUCUAGGGAUUGUCUGUUCCAGGGAUUUUUUUCAAAAUUUUUAAACAUGGGAAGUUGUUCUUCAAACAAAUAUAAUGUGUGAAACAGAUGAAAAUUUUUAAAAUGAAAAAAAA